GGUGCUUUGGUUUGUUUUGUCUUAGUUUUGACUUGGUAAGGUAUCUUGCCGAUGAGUUUAUGCAUGUCAAGGCUAUAUAAAAAGUAUUCUUUGCAGCUUUUUUUUCCUUAAUAAGUCCUAGUGUCUCCACAAAGUAUAGUCACCACUACCAGGGAAGUGUGCAUACCUGGCUGUCUUCUGCUGGAGUACGGAUGGGAUGGGAUGGGGCUGCCUUGCUGCUACUGAAACGGGCGUUCGUGCUCAGGGCGGCUGGCACAGCCCCAGCGGCAUGGCCGGUCCCUCCACGUCCAUGGACUGCGAUGUCUCUUCAGCCCCGCUCGUGCCUUUCCUGUCUUCAUCUGCUGCUCUGGGUGAGCUGACCGAGUUGACUCACUGAAAGGUCAGAUUUGGUCUAUUACUGGUUUUAUCCCUGCCCCAUCCACAUAGCAACAUUUCCAGCUAAUGGGAGGAAUGCAAAGGAGGAGUGACAUUGCUGUUUGCUUUGAUAAGAGCGAGCCUCGCUUUUAUUGCCAACUAAUCAAAUGAGGUCCAAAGGAUUGGAAGCAAAACGUUUGUUUUUGAAAGAACUUGUUCUGUUUGUUUUCUGACCAAACUACUUAAAGAAUCCUGAUUACCCAACCAUUAGCAAGGAAGGACAGGACUGUCUUAGGUCCAGCAGACUUUCAGGGUUGACCACGGUCUACACCAGUGAGCUUCAGAGAGGACCAGAUCAGACAACGAACUGCAGCCCUCUAUCAAAACCGGGUCCACAUCCACAGCAGCUGGAAAGAUGGAUGCCAGCAGCUGGUAAGGCUUUGACUAUCUCCACCCAUAUAUUCAAGCUGCUCACCUUAGAGCUUCAAGAGCGGUUAGCCCUGGAAGCACCACUCACUUCCAUCCCGAUGCUCCGGGCUGCUCAGUGCGCCCUUUGGACAGCAGCAGAGCUGGCCCCUGCCCCCGCCAGCAAAGCCUCCUGGGAAUAAGGAUGGCAUUUUCAUGCCAUGGGGCCUUUGUGGGUGACUUUUAAAGAAAUGAGCUUAAUAAGGAACCUAAUGGUGAUGUAAUAGGGAAGGAAAUUGUCUGGCAGUGUCACCUAAAGUGGGUGAUCCUUUAUGCAAUCAUACCCUGUUUUUUUUCCCACAUCAGAAGUAUUUCUACAUUGAGUUUUAUUUCCUUUUUUUUUUUCCCCCCAGGAAUCUUGGCUAAAUAAAUAAAUAAAUAAAUUUGGAACUUGGUUCAUCUUUUGGACACCAAUGAUUAUUCUCUGACACUUUGCUUUUCUAAUUGCAAGUGGGUAGGAACAAGGCCCUUAAUCUUCUAUCUCCUCUCUAAAUUUUGACAAGGGUUUGGUUUGUGGUAUGAUCUACUGAUAAAAAGCUUCCUGGUAGCUCUUCGUUUGCGACAGAAGGACUGAGCACAGGUACAUUGGCUUUUGUCUGUGGGGUAACCGCAACCAUUUGUUUCUGUUGGCAGCUAAAACACAGCUGAUUCUGUUUUCUUCACAAGCUUGUACUUGUGUGAAAAAUCUACAGAUUAAAAACAAGACCUCAUUUUUGGAACAUAUCAGUUGUGUUUGUAUGUGCAGAGAGGUGUGGGGGGGUUUGUUUUGGUUUUCAUAUAAUGAACACUGUACAUUCAGUCUCUGAAUACAGCUUAUAUCCAUUCUAUACGUGGUAGUUGCAUAUUUGUAUAUUUAAAGCCUGUACCAAAUCUUUCUGCUACCUUAAGUUUAAUUUUUAAGGAUGAUAUUGAUUGCUGCAGUCAUUCCGUUGUUAAUGUUAGUGUGAGUUUAAAUCAUCCUCUGGCUCAGGAAGUGCCAGCAGUGCUGCCUGCAGCCCGGAGCGGGGAUUCCAGGUGGACUCGCGCUGUCUUUACCUUGCUUGCGGUACUGCUCUCUACAGAUCUGCUGCUGGCCGCUGCUGGAAGCAGGUUAGUGGGUCUGGUGGCUGCUCCUCCAGCUGAUGAAUCGUAGCAGUUGGUAGUUAAAUAGUUAUUUUCUGUGUGCUUUUUUCGCAGAAAUAGAUUACAGAAAGUGUUUCGGAUCUACAUUUUGCAUGUGGUUUGUAUUUGCUAAGUUUUCUGAAUCUGCGUUUCCUUUGUUUCUACAUUGCCUUUCCCACUUGGCCAAAAAUUUUGAGGUGUGAAAAUGUCUGACUUUAUAUUUUCUAUUUUAUUUAUUUCACUGAGCUUUUCCUAAUCCUUCAUGUAAUUUCCUAGACUUUUUUGUUAUUGCUGCGUAACUGUAUGAGCCAAUUGUACACCACAGGGCACAAGGCAGUUUGGCUAGGAGAGGCACUCACUUCCAACACAGAGUUGUAUUUCUCCACACAAGUUUCUUCUAACUUUAGGUUUUAGCUUAAUGCUACAAAGAUUGAAAACUUUUAGUAGUUACCUAAAUUAAUCUUUCUCCUCCCUGCAAGACACAAACACAUCUAGUUAAAUACAUAACGGAUUCUAUUAAUUCUGUUUCUUACAAGGAACUAAUUACUGUAGUCUUCUUCCUUUACUCAAAAAUGGGAGAAUCACGUAACACUUAAGUCCAUUGUGAAUGUCCUUACCCAUGGCACAUGAUACUCUGUAAGUUAGGAUGAAAUGAGAGAGAAAAUUAUGUAGUUUAUAAAUCCUCUUAUAAACCACAGUAAUUUUGGUUUUCCCCUCAAUUUUAAAAGAUACAAACUCAUCCCAUGUUGCUCCCUCCUUCCCAUAGUUAAUGUUGCUUUAUAUCUGGGCAGAAGUAAUUUGUGCAAGACAUAUUGCUUAUAGGACAGUGCCUAAAAAUAUUGCAAAAGGUCACUGCACAUCAGACAGAAGGCAGCACUUGUUCCAGCCGCUUGCUCUGAGAACUACAGGUCUUUGUUAAUAUUAAUUGUGUAUAUUUUAAACAGCGCAUGUUUUAAAAAUACACUGCGCAAACAUGCAGCGAUGAACAUUUGUAAGCCCAGGGACAGGAUAAUGGAGGUCAGAUCUUCACUGAUGAUUUUAGGCAUAAAUAUUUGCUGUUCUUAUUGACUUCAAGGUUUGUGAAUUAGAGCCAUAUUGUGCGUGUGCUUCCAGGAAAGUGGGUACGCUCACCGUAUCCAAAAAUACAAGUGAAAUAAAAAUAGUAACGAAGAUGUAUAAAGUACCAAGAAGAUUCAGAGCUAAUCAUUUGCACAAACAUUCACCGUGAUUGUGCUUAUAAUAGUAACUAUGUACGCAGAACAUGGGAAAAAAUCCGCUGGGAGAUCAAGGCCAGAUUCUCUCUGUGCUUAGAAGAAGUUGAGCUGCCGUGAGGAGGUAGACUUCCAGCAUCGACAGCCUCCUGCUCCUCUCCGCCUGCCCUGAUAGCUACUGGCCCAAGGAUGCACCUACCAGGAGGGCUCAGGGCUUUCCCGGCCACCCUGCUCCCUCGGGAGCUGCAAAUGGCUCGCAAAAGGCAGAGGUGGCAAGCUGCUCCGUGGGCUGGCGGAGGCUGCAGCUGGGUUGUCCCCAGGGGUUAUCUUCUUUCUUACGACACUGGUACAGCUGGGAAAGGGUGAAUGAAAACUAGCCCCCAAAACGUAAUACACGCAUACAUUCAUCUUUUGUGACAUCCUUUCAUGUGAGCCCAGACACAAAUCAAAAGACACAAUUCUCUCUUCAGGCGGACAUUAUCUAAGAAUGAUGUUUUUACAAAAAAACCCUCCUGAUUCUGAAACUUUUAAAUGUCUCCAGAGAAAAGGCUGCAACCCUAACACCUGGACACCAUUCCCAUCAAGGCCAUCUCACUCCAGCAUGCUUGGUUGGUUUUGUAAUUUAUUCUUACUAAGAAAAUAUUGAAAAUGUCUGAUUCUGGUGUUGCAGCAAAGGCAGUGAAGCCGUACAUGUACACCGUUGUUUAUAAUGUGACAGAGUGCUGCAUGGCAAUUUACAAACCAAAUUUCUGUUGCUAUUGACUAUGGCUUUUUUUUUGAAAACUGGUGCAUAAAUAUGUUUACAAAGGUAACUGUUCACACAGAUUUUGGAAAAAAAAAAAAAAAGAAUGAAGUGUGGUGAAAGUGAUAGUGUCACAAGUCUGGAAGGUGACGCUGCAUAGGUAAAAUCAUUUCAGAAACUCUUCAAGUGUUAAGCUUAUUACAAUAAAUAUUAAUUCUCUUUUGGAAGAAAGAUUGAAGUAAAACAAAUGGGGUGCUUGCAAAGAAAAUGGUUUGAAAGGAAGUAAUGGGCACAUGUUGACAUUUCCUGCUUUUACAUCAAUUUUUUUAAAAUAAAUUAUGAAAUAGCCUUGAGUAGAAUAAUUGUGUUUAGUAGUGUGGUAUGAAGACAAGCAUUUCGAGCAUCCCAGCAGGGCUGCCUUGCACGGUACCUCUCUUCUGUUGUGUUCGACCACCCCAUUUCAUCUCUGCCCAAUGCACGCUUUUAUUUUGCUUUUGAGACAGCAAGAUGCCAUGACUUGAACAGAAAAUGAGCAGCAUCUUUUACUUGCUGUGCAUGCAACCUUUUCCACCUAGAGAGGUUAAACGUGAGCGGGACUUUGAGCACCUUCCCGUGGCUGCCCACCUGAGGUGGAAAGUCAUCAGCCCCGUCUGCCCAGGGCGCAGGUUCCCUCUCUCCCUCCAAGCACAAUUACAAUUCAUGGGUUCAUUCCCACUCUCCCUACCUGGGAAUCGGGUCCGUGAAGCAGGUUUGGGAGGGGAGGACGUUGGUAGGCUGAAGGCCAAGGAAUAUCUUCCUCCCUGGUCCGUGCACUGCAUAUCUGCUGCUGCUGCUCUGUUCCCAAGAGAUUCCUUGGAUUUUCCCUGCAAGAAUCCCAGUCCCUGAGCCAUCCCCCCAGCAUCCUGUAGCUCUGCAAAUAAUACAAAUAAUGUUCUGCUGUCUUUUUUCCAAGUACCAUUUGAACAUAUGUUUUAUGUGGAGAUGCUGAUGGACAGCAACAUCUGCUGCUCCCAGCCAGCUCGCUCACUCUUAUUUGGAUUGUAAUUACUUCAUCGGCUGCGAUCCGUGUCCUGUGUUUGCCCACUAUCUGUUUCUGUCAGGUCUUCGUCUUCUACAAACUACCCAUUAUGUAGCGAUGAUAAUUAAAUCUCCCUUCGCCAGGCAGGUCUGAGCAGUGCAAGAAGGGCCUCCUUGUCCGUGCAGCUGCCAAAGAAGAUGCAGCUUGUAAUGAUGCCUUAAUCACCUGCCUGCUAGACAAUGGCUGGGACCACCUAUUUGUUUCAAACGAGCUAUUUUAGCAGCUGUCAGAUGCUAAUGGCUUUCAGCUGCUGACAACCUGUGCCCUAUGCAAACCAGGGGACAUAUCAUGGAAACGUGCAUAAAUAUUCAUGCGGGACUAACAAAACCAAAAGUGCGAGUAUGGUUAUCGGAGCUCUUGCAUGAAUAUGUUGCAGCCAGCCCUGUUGUGUUGGGUUUAGUGUGAUGAAUGCAGGGCGAAUGUCUUGAAGUAAUGUUGCCUUUUUUAAGUUUGUGAGAAAAAAAAGCCCAUCGAAGGUAGUGGGGUUGCGGGGGUGCGUGAGUAAGAGCAGGAUUUGUGCCCCUGGAUAAUGCAGGCAUUUCCAGAUCAGCAUUGCUGUCUGUCGUGGGUGAUGCGCUCAAACUGGUUAUGGAGAGAAAGGAGUUGCUUUGUUUAAUUGCUCUGUUUGCAUUUCUCUUCUGAGCCUGCGUAUGAAGAAUUGGAAGUUUCUCACCACAUCCGUGCUAGAUGCUUAACGAACACAAGGAGCCAGUGAUUAAGGGCAGUGGUUUAGCUUUUAAAUUAAUUACCUAAUUUCAAGAACAGGAAAGUAUCUGUGGUCAAGACUUGAUAAUUUCCCUCUGUUCUAGCAUGCUGAAGCCUCAAAGCUUUGACAUCAAAAUAGAAAUGCAGUGAGUCAGUCUCUUUAGACAAACUGUUUUAUAAAUUAAUUCUGUUGGUGUGUUGCAUGGGAUUAUUUUAAAAAUAUUUUGUUUAUAAUGUGCUUUUACUUUCCUCAGCAGAUUCUGGAUAGCCAUGCUGAGAGGGGGAUGUUCAGAUUAAAGUAUGUGAUGGGGUUGAUGAAGAAUCUGUAACAACAGAGUCAAUGGAAAAGGAUGAUGGUCCUCUUGAAACUCUUCUUUGACCUUCCUGGAGAGUGCUGUGUUUACACCAUUUAUUUUAAGUGUGAGAACUUUGUCAGAUCGAACCAUUAGCAACCGUCCGGGGAGCAAACAGCAAAACGCCCGGCACGGCUCGGGGCCGCUGUGACAAAAUGCAGUUUCUACACUUUUGCAUUUCACCACAGGAAGCGAGCGAUGAGGAGAAAUCAGCCAGGGAGAGGUGUGGCAGAUAAUUUGGCUGGCUGCAGUCCUCCUCCGGUUUUGGGCUAUGCAGUACGUACACGGACGGGCAUUUCUUCUUUCAAAGUUUUGGGAGCUCAGGCAUGGUCCGUUGCCCAGGGUAAAGCCCCCUUGAGGGGCUUUGCUGAGCCUGUUGGUGCAGAUGCAGGUUGAGGGACAAACAGCUCUUUUCUUCAAUUUACUGGAUUGCUUCCCUUCUCUGUUUUGAACUACGGAGUAAUUAUGCCCUUUGAAAAACUUUGCUUCGUUUAUCUAGUUCUUUGGAUCUAUAGUGCUACCCAGUGCACUGUAUUUGCGUCACUGAAGAAUUUUUUUACUUGUCUGAAGUUGUGUUGAGAAAUGUCUGCUGGCUUGCGUGGAGGUGAGGUUUGUGCACGUGCUUGUGUUUUCAUUUCCAAAAGUUUGCCCUGCGCAAGUCACCGUAAUAUCUACGUAAGCUCUCGAGUAUCCCGCGGUCCUGACAACAGUGGGUGGGCAUCAUCCUCCCUGCUUCUGCUGUUUCCAGCCUUGGAGAGGACUAUUUUGUGCAAGUUUUUUGUUCCCGCAUCCCCAGCUCUUCAAACCGACAAGGAAAAUAAGUAUGGGUGCUUUGGAGAGAGCUGGCUGACCAAAUCCCUGCUGGGUUUUGCCUUGUAUUACCAGUUGCUAAGAAAUGUCUGAAGGAAGCUGUCAGGUACACUUCUGUGGUGUUACUUUCCAUAUCAACGGCUGCUAGGGUCACCAAAGUGUGGCCUCAGGAGAGAGGUAGCUGCCCCCAGGGUCAGGAACAGCAGGGAGGUGUCCCAAGCUGGUACCAGCAGCGACUUUCAAACAGACAGUCAGGAACUCAUGACGUGGGCUCUCCUGGGCAUGGUCUGUGCCAGGACACGUGCGUGGAGAGUUCCUCUUGCCUCCUGGCUACUCCGCUUGGUUCCGCGUGGACUUGGGAAGUCCCAUGUUUUGCAAUCCCGGCACACAGAGUGGGAAUCAGGUGCCUUGAUAAGUGAUGGAGUGCCUCAGAGCAGGGGUUUCACCUGCCCAAAGCUUUGGUUGUUUCUAUGGCUCAAAUACGUGUGGGUUUUUUCAUUGGUUUUGUUUUUUUCUGCGGUUCCUAAGCUGUGGGUGAGCGAGCGCUGUGACACCAGGCAGCCAGCUUUCAGUGGCAGCAUCCCAGAAAUGCUGGUUAAUCACUAGUUUAUUAGCUUACAGCCUUAGGCAAACCUGAAAUCAUUAACAGCCCAUUUGUUGGGCUAAUGACUCUUUUCUACCAGUUGUAUAAUUUAAUAUAUGGUAACUUUCAUGCUUAAUUAUGCUCUUCAAAGCUUCUUUUGAAGGAAUUUAUUUUUCUGCAUGCAUGUAUAUAAAAAGCUUGGGAGCUGGCUGGCUUUGCUUGCAUGCUACUCUGUGUUAAAAUCUAUAGUUUAUUUAAGAAGAUUUUAAUUUAGAUAUGGUUAUUUCCUCCUUUGCUUGUUCUCUCAAUAUUUUUAUCUUUGAGUGUUUGAAAAAAUAAAUAAUGAUGAAUUACCGGCAUGUUUAAAAUGGCAUCAUUUUAUGCCCCAUUGUAGCUUGCUACAUUGUUUUGGACAAGACGUAAACCCAAAGUCCUGAUCAACAGGGCCAUUGUGCCAGCAGUUUCCAAAUGAAUGCCAGUCUUGAUCUCAGUGUCCUGGCCGUGUUCCAGCCUGGUUCACAUUUUACUCAACGGCAAGUCCCACUUCUGUUCUCGCUAACCUCAGUGGGAACAGAGAGAGACGACUGUAAAGUGCUGCUAAUCCCACGUGCCAUUUGCAUGCAGCACUUGUAAAGCGUUCUGGGAUCAGUUUGGAUGAAAAAGGCCAUGCGUGUAAGAUGCUUUUCAUUGGCAUCCCAAAUCCGGUACUGUAUCAAUGAAAGAAGGUUAUGACUUUGUCAAUUGGGAUAAUUUUUUUUGAGCUAGGCAGC